UCCGGCUUGUCGCCGGCGGUCCCUCUAGAGUGCCCAACUGAAGGAUUCCAUCUCUGGAAACCAUACGGGACAUGUCAAGGGCUGGUAAGGUUCUGCGCGUUGCUUCGAAUUGAACCACAUGCUCCACCGCUUGUGCGGGCCCCCGUCAAUUCCUUUGAGUUUUAAUCUUGCGACCGUACUCCCCAGGCGGGAUGCUUAAUGCGUUAGCUGCGCCACUGAUGAGUAAACCCACCAACGGCUAGCAUCCAUCGUUUACGGCGUGGACUAC
rnacentral:misc_RNA from 1 species